CUACGUGCCAGCAGCCGCGGUAAUACGUAGGGUGCGAGCGUUAAUCGGAAUUACUGGGCGUAAAGCGAGCGCAGACGGUUACUUAAGCAGGAUGUGAAAUCCCCGGGCUCAACCUGGGAACUGCGUUCUGAACUGGGUGACUAGAGUGUGUCAGAGGGAGGUAGAAUUCCACGUGUAGCAGUGAAAUGCGUAGAGAUGUGGAGGAAUACCGAUGGCGAAGGCAGCCUCCUGGGAUAACACUGACGUUCAUGCCCGAAAGCGUGGGUAGCAAACAGGAUUAGAUACCCUGGUAGUCCACGCCCUAAACGAUGUCGAUUAGCUGUUGGGCAGCAUGACUGCUUAGUAGCGAAGCUAACGCGUGAAAUCGACCGCCUGGGGAGUACGGUCGCAAGAUUAAAACUCAAAGGAAUUGACGGGGACCCGCACAAGCGGUGGAUGAUGUGGAUUAAUUCGAUGCAACGCGAAGAACCUUACCKGUCUUGACAU
rnacentral:rRNA from 1 species